UUGGCGAGUUUGAACGUUUUUGAGCAUGUGUAAUGGCAUAAUUCGUUAAGCUAUUGUUUUAGUCUUCUUUUGAUGAGUUUGGCUUGUUGAUAUGAAAAGUGUAUGUUUUGGCGAGUUUGAACGUUUUUGAGCAUGUGUAAUGGCAUGAAUGCGUUAAGCUGUUGUUUUAGUGUUCUUAUGAUGAGUUUGGCUUGUUGUUAUGAAAAGUGUUUGUUUUGGCGAGUUUGAACGUUUUUGAGCAUGUGUAAUGGCAUGAAUGCGUUUAAGCUGUUGUUUUAGUGUUCUUUUGAUGAGUUUGGCUUGUUGUUAUGAAAAGUGUUUGUUUUGGCGAGUUUGAACGUUUUUGAGCAUGUGUAAUGGCAUGAAUGCGUUAAGCUGUUGUUUUAGUGUUCUUUUGAUGAGUUUGGCUUGUUGUUAUGAAAAGUGUUUGUUUUGGCGAGUUUGAACGUUUUUGAGCAUGUGUAAUGGCAUGAAUGCGUUAAGCUGUUGUUUUAGUGUUCUUUUGAUGACUUUGGCUUGUUGUUAUGAACAUUGUUCGUUUUGGCGAGUUUGAACGUUUUUGAGCAUGUGUAAUGGCAUGAAUGCGUUAAGCUGUUGUUUUAGUGUUCUUUUGAUGAGUUUGGCUUGUUGUUAUGAACAUUGUUCGUUUUGGCGAGUUUGAACGUUUUUGAGCAUGUGUAAUGGCAUGAAUUCGUUAAGCUGUUGUUUUAGUGUUCUUUUGAUGAGUUUGGCUUGUUGUUAUGAAAAGUGUUUGUUUUGGCGAGUUUGAACGUUUUUUAGCAUGUGUAAUGGCAUGAAUGUGUUGAAUUGGUAAUCCCUUGUGUUAAGCCAUUGUUUUAGUGUUCUUUUGAUGAGUUUGGCUUGUUGUUAUGAACAUUGUUUGUUUUGGCGAGUUUGAACGUUUUU